rnacentral:rRNA from 1 species
GAACCUUACCUGGUCUUGACAUCCCGGAGACCCUUAGGAAACUAGGGGUGCUUCCAUCUGGAAGAAUCUGGAGACAGGUGCUGCAUGGCUGUCGUCAGCUCGUGUCGUGAGAUGUUGGGUUAAGUCCCGCAACGAGCGCAACCCUUGCCUUUAGUUGCCAGCAGUUCGGCUGGGCACUCUAAAGGGACUGCCGGUGUUAAACCGGAGGAAGGUGGGGAUGACGUCAAGUCCUCAUGGCCUUUAUGACCAGGGCUACACACGUACUACAAUGGCCGACACAAAGGGCAGCGACACUGCGAGGUGAAGCCAAUCCCGUAAAAUCGGUCUCAGUCCGGAUUGGAGUCUGCAACUCGACUCCAUGAAGUUGGAAUCGCUAGUAAUCGUGGAUCAGCAUGCCACGGUGAAUACGUUCCCGGGCCUU